rnacentral:rRNA from 1 species
GAGUUUGAUCCUGGCUCAGAUUGAACGCUGGCGGCAGGCCUAACACAUGCAAGUCGAGCGGAAACGACACUAACAAUCCUUCGGGUGCGUUAAUGGGCGUCGAGCGGCGGACGGGUGAGUAAUGCCUAGGAAAUUGCCUUGAUGUGGGGGAUAACCAUUGGAAACGAUGGCUAAUACCGCAUAAUGCCUACGGGCCAAAGAGGGGGAUCUUCGGACCUCUCGCGUCAAGAUAUGCCUAGGUGGGAUUAGCUAGUUGGUGAGGUAAUGGCUCACCAAGGCGACGAUCCCUAGCUGGUCUGAGAGGAUGAUCAGCCACACUGGAACUGAGACACGGUCCAGACUCCUACGGGAGGCAGCAGUGGGGAAUAUUGCACAAUGGGCGAAAGCCUGAUGCAGCCAUGCCGCGUGUAUGAAGAAGGCCUUCGGGUUGUAAAGUACUUUCAGUUGUGAGGAAGGGGGUAACGUUAAUAGCGUUAUCUCUUGACGUUAGCAACAGAAGAAGCACCGGCUAACUCCGU